CCACACCAAAUAAAAAACUCACCCCACGUGAAUUUGUACUGUAUGUGUUUUGUGUUAUGUAUGUAAAUAUGUAACUAAACGAAGGUUUCGCAAGGAACCGAUGUACUUUUAAACCCCUUUUAUAAAUAAACGUACGGCAAAUUAUAUUGCAGAUAUGAAAAUGUUUGCUCUUAAUUUAAAAUACAACUUUCAACAGUGGAUGUCUAGGCUCGCACAUCGAUGAAGAACGCUGCGAACUGCGAUACGUAAUGCGAAUUGCAGAAUUCAGUGAGUCAUCGAAAUUUUGAACGCAUAUUGCACUUUCGGGUUAGUCCUGGGAGUAUGUCUGUAUCAGUGUCCGUAAACAAAAUUGUUCUAUUAUAUAUUACUUUUUUUUAAAAAGCAGUAUAUACAUGUAACAGAAUUUGAAGUGUCUUGUGUGUUAUACAUACAAGUCCUUUUAAAAGACUUUCCUUCUAUCUUUGUGGAAAACACAAAUAUAAAGGGAUAUAGUAUGAUUUCGUAUUCAUUUAGUGGCAUCUUGUAUAAAGUUGUGACUUUUGAGUUAUGGAUGACUUGCGGUAGUUUUGCUGGUUCUCACGAAUCGGUGAACAAAUAUUGCUUGUUGUGAUGUGAUUCAAAUGGUUAUAAUGGCAUGCGAGUGUGUCCGAAUAUGAUUUGUAUUAUAUUCUGUGUGUUUUUUACUUAUAAAGCAAAGAAUGAAGAAGAAAUUGAAUAAUUUUUUGGGAAAACAAAAAAUAAAUCCAAUUUGGACCUGAUAUCAGACAAGAUUACCCGCUGAAUUUAAG
rnacentral:rRNA from 1 species